rfam:Nematocida sp. JTm2807 4, whole genome shotgun sequence.
GGGGGAUUAGCUCAGUGGUAGAGCGUGUGCUUCGCAUGUACGAGGUCUCGGGUUCGAUCCCCGAAUUCUCCA